GAGUAGGGCUGAUUGGAGCCAUUGUACAGUGUCGGGAACAUACCAGGACACUGAGAAUAGUGUCAUGUCAUAAGGACCCAGAGCAGAUGGACCCUGCUGUGAUGCACAAAGGGAUGAAAUGGGAUUUUGUUGGCACCAAGACCUGAUUGCUUUGCCAGUUACCCUCACCCCUGGCUCACAAGGAAAGUGUAUGGAGGAGAUUCUCGAGGAACCACAUGAGUUUUAAUAUCAUAAGCUUCUGCCCUGAAUUGAAAGGAGCUGGGCUGCUUGGAUCAGAGGUUCCAUGGUCUGAACUACUCCACUCUGGUGAAGGUUUCUUCCCCAAAGCCACUCCUCAAGCUGACUUAUAUUGUACCUGAGUUGCAUGCCUGUGCUCCAAGAGCAGACGUCCUUCCGCAGGAGCAGGUCAUUAAGAGUCACUGCGUUGAUCAUGUAGAAGAGCUGUUUGAAUACCUGCAGGAUGAUCUCAGGGUCCAAGCCCUGGUCACACAUGACUGUAUGAAAGGCAUUCAUCUGGCGGAUGAUAGCUUCCAGGCGGUAUGAGUUAUCCCCAUCUGCCAUGCUGGAGGAGUGCUUCUGGGAGCCAGUGGGCUUCACACCAGAUAGACCCUGAAUGCUGUCAUUUUCCAACAUGGCAGAAACUAUCAUCGGCUGUAACACACCCUCGGCAAUUUUAAAGAGCUGCUGGUAGAUCUGAAUGGAAAGGUCGCUCAGUACCUGACGGUAUUCGGUGAGGUCAAAGUUCUUAAGGCAGUGUUCGUUGUGCUUUGCUGUAUUCUGAGUCAUGAAGCCCUCAUCCCCGCUGUACCGCUUCAGACAGUGAAGAAGGUGGCAGGUGUUGGAUAACAGGAAUGACGUCAUCUCAAAGUCAUCACUGUGCUUCUUCAGGACUUUCUUAAUGCCGUUGGUGGUGGAGGUCAUCAGGGAGUGCACCUUGAGAUCAUCGUUGGUUUGGUCCGCGAGCCGAAUGCACAUGUAGAGGAUGUAGGCGGAGAGACAGGGCACUGUGUCCAACAGCAUCUGGGGCUUCAAGUCUGUCACCAGGUUGAGGAUGAGGAGGGCCUCGCCCUCUUUGCGGCACUCCAACAUGCCCUGGAAAUCCUUUUCUUUCCACUGAACUGGGACCUGCCUGUUGAACUCAUGGCGCUUCCUCUCACUCUGGGCCAACGCCUGGGCAGCUUCUUCAUGUAAAUCUUCAGUUGCUUUUAGAGCUUCCUCUCAUUCUUUUCCUCUUACUUUAUUUUUCACCACAGAGCUUCCUAUCAACUAGUAUGUUGAAUAUUUUGCUUAUUAACUUUGUUUAUUGUCUUCUCCCUCGAUUAGAAUAUUAGCUACUUGAGUACAAGGAUUUGAGCCUGUUACAUUCACUGCUGAAUUUUAGGCUCCUGGAAGAUACCCAGCAUUCAAUAGAGACCACACAAUAAAUAUAUGUCAAAUAAA
rnacentral:lncRNA from 10 species